AAGCCAGGAUAAUGUAGUCUUAAUCGUUCUGAAAUACGAAAAAUGUUGUGGAAAUCGCGUGAAAUAAUCAGAGGAAUCGUUUGAAAUCAUCGUAGUAAUCGCGCGAAAAUCACGUGAAAUAAUCAGAGGAAUCGUUUGAAAUCAUCGUAGUAAUCGCGCGAAAAUCACGUGAAAUAAUCAGAGGAAUCGUUUGAAAUCAUCGUAGUAAUCGCGCGAAAAUCACGUGAAAUAAUCAGAGGAAUCGUUUGAAAUCAUCGUAGUAAUCGCGCGAAAAUCACGUGAAAUAAUCAGAGGAAUCGUUUGAAAUCAUCGUAGUAAUCGCGCGAAAAUCACGUGAAAUAAUCAGAGGAAUCGUUUGAAAUCAUCGUAGUAAUCGCGCGAAAAUCACGUGAAAUAAUCAGAGGAAUCGUUUGAAAUCAUCGUAGUAAUCGCGCGAAAAUCGCGUGAAAUAAUCAGAGGAAUCGUUUGAAAUCAUCGUAGUAAUCGCGCGAAAAUCGCGUGAAAUAAUCAGAGGAAUCGUUUGAAAUCAUCGUAGUAAUCGCGCGAAAAUCGCGUGAAAUAAUCAGAGGAAUCGUUUGAAAUCAUCGUAGUAAUCGCGCGAAAAUCGCGUGAAAUACUAUGGUAGACGGUUUGAGUAAAUUAAUGGAGUAUUUUAAU
rfam:Staphylococcus aureus subsp. aureus TSA300_FPR3757, complete genome.